GUGAGGAAUAUUGGUCAAUGGGCGGAAGCCUGAACCAGCCAUCUCGCGUGCAGGAAGACGGCCCUAUGGGUUGUAAACUGCUUUUCCAGGGGGCGAAACUUUCCGAUGUAUCGGGAUUUGACGGUACCCUGGGAAUAAGCAUCGGCUAACUCCGUGCCAGCAGCCGCGGUAAUACGGAGGAUGCGAGCGUUAUCCGGAUUUAUUGGGUUUAAAGGGUGCGUAGGCGGAUCGAUAAGUCAGUGGUGAAACCCUGCAGCUUAACUGUAGACUUGCCGUUGAAACUGUUGGUCUUGAGUGUGGUCAAGGUAGGCGGAAUGUGUAAUGUAGCGGUGAAAUGCUUAGAUAUUACACAGAACACCGAUUGCGAAGGCAGCUUACUGGGCCAUUACUGACGCUGAUGCACGAAAGCGUGGGGAUCGAACAGGAUUAGAUACCCCUGUAGUCC
rnacentral:rRNA from 1 species